rnacentral:rRNA from 1 species
UGCGGCGAAUUACGUGGUCUUUUUCUGGCCAACAUCGUCGGACGGUAGAAAAGGUGCGGUUAUUGGUGUCGUCUAGCACGACAUCCAACGCCGGUUAGCGACGAAUCUUCGGGCCUCUUUCCGACCCGUCUUGAAACACGGACCAAGGAGUCUAACGUGCGCGCGAGUCGCGGGGUAUCGAGUCGCGUGAAUUUAAAUCGGCGGCUCGUUACAUUACGAAACCCGUGUGUAUGUGAAUGCAAGGCGCAAUGAAAGUGAAAUUUGGGAAGAUGGCGUUCGAGCUCACGUAUCUCGGUCGUCAUGUACCGAGGCCGAACGUCCGCACUCCCAGGGCGUCCUAUCGGCACGUUUCGGAUGCGGAUAGUCGUUUCGCGACGGCUGUCGGUCUUUAACGAGUCGGGGCGCACCUAUAGCGUGCACGUUGGUACCCGAAAGAUGGUGAACUAUGCCUGGCCAGGAUGAAGUCAGGGGAAACCCUGAUGGAGGUCCGUAGCGAUUCUGACGUGCAAAUCG